CUCGCCGCCAGCGAGGAAGGCAGCUCAGAUGAAGACCCCCCUAACUCAUUUGUGACAGAAGACAGUCAGCAGCGUGCUGUUUCUACAGGGCAAAACAGAUUCUGUUAUCGCCUGACUCAGAGGCAGUGGUACCCCAUCCUCAGGAGCCUC